GUGAGUCAUCGAAUCUUUGAACGCAACUUGCGCUCUCUGGUAUUCCGGAGAGCAUGCCUGUUUGAGUGUCAUGAAAUCUCAACCAUUAGGGUUUCUUAAUGGCUUGGAUUUGGAGGUUGCCAUUCUAAAUGGCUCCUCUUAAAGGAGUUAGCAAGUUUAACUAUUGCUAUCUGGCGUAAUAAGUUUCGCUGGAAUGGUAUUGUGAAGCGUGCUUCUAAUCGUCUUCGGACAAUUACUUUGACUCUGGCCUCAAAUCAGGUAGGACUACCCGCUGAACUUAAGCAUAUCAAUAAGCGGAGGA
rnacentral:misc_RNA from 1 species